GAUGAACGCUGGCGGCGUGCCUAAUACAUUCAAGUCGAGCGAACGGACGAGAAGCUUGCUUUUCUGAUGUUAGCGGCGGACGGGUGAGUAACACGUGGAUAACCUACCUAUAAGACUGGGAUAACUUCGGGAAACCGGAGCUAAUACCGGAUAAUAUUUUGAACCGCAUGGUUCAAAAGUGAAAGACGGUCUUGCUGUCACUUAUAGAUGGAUCCGCGCUGCAUUAGCUAGUUGGUAAGGUACGGCUUACCAAGGCAACGAUGCAUAGCCGACCUGAGAGGGUGAUCGGCCACACUGGAACUGAGACACGGUCCAGACUCCUACGGGAGGCAGCAGUAGGGAAUCUUCCGCAAUGGGCGAAAGCCUGACGGAGCAACGCCGCGUGAGUGAUGAAGGUCUUCGGAUCGUAAAACUCUGUUAUUAGGGAAGAACAUAUGUGUAAGUAACUGUGCACAUCUUGACGGUACCUAAUCAGAAAGCCACGGCUAACUACGUG
rnacentral:rRNA from 1 species